GCACCUGCCUCAGCCUCCCAAAGCGCUGGGAUUACAGACGUGAGCCACUGCGCCCGGCCAGUUUGAUAGUUUUAUAUUUUACAUGCAAAAGACCCUGAGUUAAGUUUUGUUUAGGGUUUGAGGUUUAGGCCAAGGUUUUGGAGUUUUUGUUUUUUUUCUGCUUAUGCACAUCUAAUUGUUCAUUGAAAAGCUUUCCUUGAUUGAAUUGCUUUUGCACCUUUGUGAAAAAUCAGUUGGAUGUAUUUGCAUGGGUCUAUUUUUGGGUUCUCUACUGUUCUUUGUCUGUUCCUCCACCAAUACCACAUAGUCUUGAUUACUGGGGUUAUAUAAUAAGUUUUGAAAUCAGAUAGAUUGAUUCCUUUCACUUCAUUCUUCUUUUUCAAAAAUGUUUAAUGCUUCAUGCUCCUUUGCAUUUUCACAAACAUUUGUCUAUAAAAAUAUGCAGGUAUAUUGCUGGGGUUUUGAUAGAAAUUGUAUUUUAACUUUAUAUCAGUUUUAGGAGAAUUGACAGCUUUACUAUACUGACACGUCCAGCAUAUGAAAAUGAUUCAGGAGGUACUUAUGCAGGCUUGUUACAUGGGUAUACAGCAUGAUGCUGAAGUUUGAAAUGAUUGAUCCUAUCACCCAGGUACUGAGCAUAGUAUUGUGUCCGGAAUUUACUCCUUCUGGUGGGUUCUUCGUCUUGCUGACUUCAAGAGUGAAGCCACGGGCCCUCAUGACUCCCUCAUGGCAUAGAUGGACAUGUUGACUCAGUUCUUACCAAUGAGAUAAAGUGAAAUUUUUCCCACUAGGCUACCAGAAAAAACUUUGUUUUCUGAUAAAAAAGGGACAUAUUUAUCCGGUGUGCACCUUUUCCCCUUCUGUCCUGCCUGGAAUGUGGCUGAGAUGUCUGGAGCAGCAGCAGCUACCUUGUGCAUGUGGAACAGCUGAUGUAACAGGAUACAGAAAGACAACAAAAAUAUAUGGGAACAUAGGGUUCCCUUUGGCAUCAUAUGGUGUUCGUACCA
rnacentral:lncRNA from 10 species